rnacentral:rRNA from 1 species
UACGAAGGGGGCUAGCGUUGCUCGGAAUUACUGGGCGUAAAGAGUGUGUAGGCGGUGCUCCCAGUCUGUUGUGAAAUCUCCCGGCUUAACUGGGAGGGUGCAGCGGAAACUAGAGUGCUAGAGGGUGGGAGAGGUAAGCGGAAUUCCUGGUGUAGCGGUGAAAUGCGUAGAUAUCAGGAGGAACACCUGUGGUGUAGACAGCUUACUGGACCACUUCUGACGCUGAGACACGAAAGCGUGGGUAGCAAACAGG